rnacentral:rRNA from 1 species
AGUGAACGCUGGCGGUAGGCCUAACACAUGCAAGUCGAACGGCAGCACAGUAAGAGCUUGCUCUUACGGGUGGCGAGUGGCGGACGGGUGAGGAAUACAUCGGAAUCUACUUUUUCGUGGGGGAUAACGUAGGGAAACUUACGCUAAUACCGCAUACGACCUACGGGUGAAAGCAGGGGAUCUUCGGACCUUGCGCGAUUGAAUGAGCCGAUGUCGGAUUAGCUAGUUGGCGGGGUAAAGGCCCACCAAGGCGACGAUCCGUAGCUGGUCUGAGAGGAUGAUCAGCCACACUGGGACUGAGACACGGUCCAGACUCCUACGGGAGGCAGCAGUGGGGAAUAUUGGACAAUGGGCGCAAGCCUGAUCCAGCCAUACCGCGUGGGUGAAGAAGGCCUUCGGGCUGUAAAGCCCUUUUGUUGGGAAAGAAAAGCAGCAGGUUAAUACCCCGCUGUUCUGACGGUACCCAAAGAAUAAGCACCGGCUAACUUCGUG